rnacentral:piRNA from 1 species
UUNUGGUAAAAGAAUAGCUAAUGGUUGC